rnacentral:rRNA from 1 species
ACUUUCAACAACGGAUCUCUUGGUUCUGGCAUCGAUGAAGAACGCAGCAAAAUGCGAUAAGUAAUGUGAAUUGCAGAAUUCAGUGAAUCAUCGAAUCUUUGAACGCACAUUGCGCCUGCCAGUAUUCUGGCGGGCAUGCCUGUUCGAGCGUCAUUUCAACCCUCAAGCACAGCUUGGUGUUGGGACUCGCGUUAAUUCGCGUUCCCCAAAUUGAUUGGCGGUCACGUCGAGCUUCCAUAGCGUAGUAGUAAAACCCUCGUUACUGGUAAUCGUCGCGGCCACGCCGUUAAACCCCAACUUCUGAAUGUUGACCUCGGAUCAGGUAGGAAUACCCGCUGAACUUAAGCAUAUCAAUAAGCGGAGGAAAAGAAACCAACAGGGAUUGCCCUAGUAACGGCGAGUGAAGCGGCAACAGCUCAAAUUUGAAAUCUGGCUCUCGGGCCCGAGUUGUAAUUUGUAGAGGAUACUUUUGAUGCGGUGCCUUCCGAGUUCCCUGGAACGGGACGCCAUAGAGGGUGAGAGCCCCGUCUGGUUGGAUGCCAAAUCUCUGUAAAGUUCCUUCAACGAGUCGAGUAGUUUGGGAAUGCUGCUCUAAAUGGGAGGUAUAUGUCUUCUAAAGCUAAAUACCGGCCAGAGACCGAUAGCGCACAAGUAGAGUGAUCGAAAGAUGAAAAGCACUUUGAAAAGAGAGUUAAAAAGUACGUGAAAUUGUUGAAAGGGAAGCGUUUAUGACCAGACUUGGGCUUGGUUAAUCAUCUGGGGUUCUCCCCAGUGCACUUUUCCAGUCCAGGCCAGCAUCAGUUUUCCCCGGGGGAUAAAGGCGGCGGGAAUGUGGCUCUCUUCGGGGAGUGUUAUAGCCCACCGUGUAAUACCCUGGGGGGGACUGAGGUUCGCGCAUCUGCAAGGAUGCUGGCGUAAUGGUCAUCAACGACCCGUCUUGAAACACGGACCAAGGAGUCGUCUUCGUAUGCGAGUGUUCGGGUGUCAAACCCCUACGCGUAAUGAAAGUGAACGCAGGUGAGAGCUUCGGCGCAUCAUCGACCGAUCCUGAUGUUCUCGGAUGGAUUUGAGUAAGAGCAUACGGGGCCGGACCCGAAAGAAGGUGAACUAUGCCUGUAUAGGGUGAAGCCAGAGGAAACUCUGGUGGAGGCUCGCAGCGGUUCUGACGUGCAAAUCGAUCGUCAAAUAUGGGCAUGGGGGCGAAAGACUAAUCGAACCUUCUAGUAGCUGGUUUCCGCCGAAGUUUCCCUCAGGAUAGCAGUGUUGAACUCAGUUUUAUGAGGUAAAGCGAAUGAUUAGGGACUCGGGGGCGCUAUUUAGCCUUCAUCCAUUCUCAAACUUUAAAUAUGUAAGAAGCUCUUGUUGCUUAAUUGAACGUGAGCAUUCGAAUGUAUCAACACUAGUGGGCCAUUUUUGGUAAGCAGAACUGGCGAUGCGGGAUGAACCGAACGCGAGGUUAAGGUGCCAGAGUAGACGCUCAUCAGACACCACAAAAGGUGUUAGUACAUCUUGACAGCAGGACGGUGGCCAUGGAAGUCGGAAUCCGCUAAGGACUGUGUAACAACUCACCUGCCGAAUGUACUAGCCCUGAAAAUGGAUGGCGCUCAAGCGUCUCACCCAUACCUCGCCCUCAGGGUAGAAACGAUGCCCUGAGGAGUAGGCGGACGUGGAGGUCAGUGACGAAGCCUAGGGCGUGAGCCCGGGUUGAACGGCCUCUAGUGCAGAUCUUGGUGGUAGUAGCAAAUACUUCAAUGAGAACUUGAAGGACCGAAGUGGGGAAAGGUUCCAUGUGAACAGCGGUUGGACAUGGGUUAGUCGAUCCUAAGCCAUAGGGAAGUUCCGUUUCAAAGGUGCACUUUGCACCGUCUGGCGAAAGGGAAGCCGGUCAAUAUUCCGGCACCUGGAUGUGGGUUUUGCGCGGCAACGCAACUGAACGUGGAGACGACGGCGGGGGCCCCGGGCAGAGUUCUCUUUUCUUCUUAACAGUCUCUCACCCUGAAAUCGGUUUGUCCGGAGCUAGGGUUUAAUGGCUGGAAGAGCCCAGCACCUCUGCUGGGUCCGGUGCGCUCUCGACGUCCCUUGAAAAUCCACGGGAGGAAAUAAUUCUCACGCCAGGUCGUACUCAUAACCGCAGCAGGUCUCCAAGGUGAACAGCCUCUGGUUGAUAGAACAAUGUAGAUAAGGGAAGUCGGCAAAAUAGAUCCGUAACUUCGGGAUAAGGAUUGGCUCUAAGGGUUGGGCACGUUGGGCCUUGGGCGGACGCCUUGGGAGCAGGCUGCCACUAGUCGGGCAACCGACCGGCGGCGGCCAGCAUCCGAGUGUUGAUGCCCUUGGCAGGCUUCGGCCGUCCGGCGUGCGGUUAACAACCAACUUAGAACUGGUACGGACAAGGGGAAUCUGACUGUCU